CCUACGGGUGGCAGCAGUGGGGAAUAGUGGGCAAUGGGCGCAAGCCUGACCCAGCAACGCCGCGUGAAGGAAGAAGGCUUUCGGGUUGUAAACUUCUUUUGUCAGGGAAGAGGAGAAGACGGUACCUGACGAAUAAGCCACGGCUAACUACGUGCCAGCAGCCGCGGUAAUACGUAGGUGGCAAGCGUUGUCCGGAUUUACUGGGUGUAAAGGGCGUGUAGCCGGGUUGACAAGUCAGAUGUGAAAUCCUGCGGCGUAACCGCAGAACUGCAUUUGAAACUGUUGAUCUUGAGUACUGGAGAGGCAGACGGAAUUCCUAGUGUAGCGGUGAAAUGCGUAGAUAUUAGGAGGCACACCAGUGGCGCAGGCGGUCUGCUGGACAGCACCUGACGGUGAGGCGCGACAGCGUGGGGAGCAAACAGGAUUAGAUACCCGGGUAGUC
rnacentral:rRNA from 1 species